UCCUCCAGACUAUCGUCCCAAACAGUCCGACUCCCUCCAGACUAUCGUCCCAAACAGUCCGACUCCCUCCAGACUAUCGUCCCAAACAGUCCGACUCCCUCCAGACUAUCGUCCCAAACAGUCCGACUCCCUCCAGACUACUGUCUCCUCUCCGAGGAGUAGUAGAGGGUCUGACUGUCUCCUCUCCCGAGGGAGUAGUAGAGGGUCUGACUGUCUCCUCUGAGGGAGUAGUAGAGGGUCUGACUGUCUCUCUCUGAGGGAGUAGUAGAGGGUCUGACUGUCUCUCUGAGGGAGUAGUAGAGGGUCUGACUGUCUCCUCUCUGAGGGAGUAGUAGAUGGUCUGACUGUCUCUCUCCGAGAGAGUAGUAGAGGGUCUGACUGUCUCAGAGGGAGUAGUAGAGGGUCUGACUGUCUCCGAGGGAGUAGUAGACGGUCUGACUGUCUCCGAGGGAGUAGUAGAGGGUCUGACUGUCUCCUCUCCGAGGGAGUAGUAGAGGGUCUGACUGUCUCCGAGGAGUAGUAGAGGGUCUGACUGUCUCCUCUCCGAGGGAGUAGUAGAGGGUCUGACUGUCUCCUCUCCGAGGGAGUAGUAGAGGGUCUGACUGUCUCCUCUCCGAGGGAGUAGUAGAGGGUCUGACUGUCUCCGAGGGAGUAGUAGAGGGUCUGACUGUCUCCGAGGGAGUAGUAGAUGGUCUGACUGUCUCGAGGGAGUAGUAGAUGGUCUGACUGUCUCCGAGGGAGUAGUAGAUGGUCUGACUGUCUCCGAGGGAGUAGUAGAGGGUCUGACUGUCUCCGAGGGAGUAGUAGAAGGUCUGACUGUCUCCGAGGGAGUAGUAGAGGGUCUGACUGUCUCCGAGGGAGUAGUAGAGGGUCUGACUGUCUCCUCUCCGAGGGAGUAGUAGAGGGUCUGACUGUCUCCGAGGGAGUAGUAGAG